rnacentral:lncRNA from 1 species
GCCCCGGUGUGUCACCACCGCGGGUCACCUGGGAGUCCUGUGAGUGCACCGCCGGGGUCACCUGGGAGCCCCGCGUGUCACCGCCGCGGUCGUCGGGGAGCCCCGGGGCUCACCAACGAGGUCACCUGGGAGCCCCGCGGGUCACCGCCGCGGUCACCUGGAAGUGUCACCUGUGUCACUAGGUCACCUAGUGUAUCACACAGGUCACCUAGAAAUUCGUGUCACCGCCAAGGUCACCUAGAAAUUCGUGUCACCGCCGAGGUCCCCUGGGAGCCCCGCGGGUGCCGCACAAGUGCCCCCGCCCUUCCCCCCGGUUCCGGGUCUCCACGCCCUCCUGGUUUGCGGGCAGCCGCGAAGCCGCGAGUGGACCGAGCGAGUGCAGCUGCCUCCGCGGGGCCGCGCCUGGCCGCCGCCUCCCUUUACCUCCGGCCGCCCCGUGGCAGGUGUAGAAGCUGCAGAGGCCGCAGCAGCCCAGCGCGCCCCUUCCGUGUGGCCGCAUGCCACCCGCGCCGCGCCCAGGUAAGCAGGUCCGUGGGUCGCUGGGUCCAUGCGUGGGUCCGUGGCUGGCCGGGGAUGGACCAGCCCCUCCCCGCAGGGGCAUCGCCUGCCCAAGGACGCAGGACCCAGUGAGGGAAGCGCGCGCUGCAGGCACGGGGCUCUCCACCCUCGCCAUGGUUGGCACCAAGCCACACUGUGCACUCGACACACGCAGCGUCCUGGCUGCCACCUGCAGAUUCCAGCUCGUGUCUAUGCAGGGCCAUGGCCGCCAUCACAGGGCCAUAUGCAAGAAACUCUCUGAGCUCUCCUCGCCCAAAACCGCAGCUAUCCUUUUGUGGUUUGGUAUUAUAGGUAACAUGCCCUUCCUUAAAGAAACAGUAUUUCAGGCCUGUAGUCCCAGCUACUCCGGAGGCCGAGGCAGAAGCUGAGGCAGAAGCAGGAGGAUCAUUUGAGCCCAGAAGUUUGAGCCUGGGCAAUGUAGCAAGACCCCCCCCCCCACCUCACUCCCCAAUCAGUUAAAAGAGAGAGAGAGAGAGAGAGAAUUCCAGCAGGAAGAAGUACACAUUUCCACGAAUGGUUUGGGAAUUCAAGCAUCAUAUGGCUGAGGUUUGAACUACAGCUCAUGCCAAUAACAUGUGCACAUGCGCCAGCAUUCCAGCGUCCAACAGAGCAUGCGUGCACCAUUCCAGCAUCCGGCAACAAUGCACCAGCAUUCCAGCGUCCAACAGAGCAUCCGUGUACCAUUCCGGCAUUUGGCAACAAUGCACCAGCAUUCCAGAGUCCAACAGGGCAUGCGUGCACCAUUCCAGCAUCCGGCAACAAUGCACCAGCAUUCCAGCGUCCAACAGAGCGUGCGUGCACCAUUCCAGCAUCCGGCAACAAUGCACCAGCAUUCCAGCGUCCAAAAGAGCAUCCGGCAACAUCCCGGUGUCCAGUGGCACAUGUGCACCUGGACGUUCCAGUGUGGUGAGCUUUCAGGCACGGAGCAAGGCCAAAGGGAUAAAAAGAUGAAGGUGACGCAGUACUCCCCCUUAUAGUGCCUACAGGCCUUAUAGGCCAGACAGAUCUGGAAAUAAAUAAUUCAUAAUAAAAAAUAAUUACAGAAUAAGAGGCAUAAUAACCAGAUAGAAAGUAUUGAAUAAAUCUGUAAGAAAUGGCUGCUUUGUUUUUGUUUUUGUUUAACAUGAGAAACGUAUUGAGUAUCAGCAGUUUCACUUGGUUCUACAGAAUCUCUUUGGAGACCAGUGAAAGGAGAACUCUGGAAAGGCCUCAGAGUGGAUGGGAGCCUCUCCCUCUGUGGACAAGCGUUCCCUGGGCUGCCCAGGGUGCCUACGGCGGCACAAUUGCUACCUCCUGUCUACACAUGGUCUGCAAAAAGUGCCCUCAAAUGGGUCUGCUCCUCUCAUUCCCUGUCAGUUCAGGGAACCUUCACCACUCCCCAUCCCCCACCGCCCCCCCACCCCAACCCUGCCCCUCCAGCUUCAGGGAAAGCCUGUCAUCAGGCAGAAGGGUCCUGAAAUGCAGGCCCUGCCCUUUCCACUAGUCUAAGGCACAACACCCUCCCUGGUCCUCAGCCCACACGGCCCUAGGCCACACUCCCUCUGAGCACCUGCCCUCUUCUCCCGGCCGCUCUCCUGGCAUGCAGGUGCCCUCCAGCCUGCCCAGCCUUGGGCUGCGUCAGGAUCUACCGAGGACUUGUUAAGCUCACACAGCUGGGCUCUGAUGGCUCCUUGCUGAUCCAGGAGGUCUGGGAUGGGGCCCGAGGAUGUGCAUUUCUAGCAAAAUUUCCUGGGAUGUUGAAUGUGCUGGUCCACACUUUGAGAAACACUGCUGAAAUCUGUUGCAUCUUAAAAGCAAGAUGAAAGGAAAGGGCCACACCCUCUGGCCUGUCCCGCUUCUCCGAUCUCCCUCUUCACCCCUUGGGCAUCUCCACACAUGCUAUUGGCUUCUUUCCUCAACCCUGUGCCAUCCACUCUGUCCCCUGGCCAAUAUCCUCUGGCUGGCACCAUGUCAUGUUGGGGCACCAGGGUGGAGACCCUUGGUCUCUGUGGUCAUUGGCUUUAUUACUUGUCAACUUGGCUGGGCCACCGUGCCCAGAUAUUGGGUCAAAUGCUAGGUUAGAUGUCUCUGUGAAGGUAUGUUUAGAUGAGAUUGACACUUAUAUCAGUAGACUUUGAGUAAGGUGUGUGACAUAACGUGGGUGGGCCUCACCCAAUCUAUCAAGGGGCUUGAGAGAAAAAGACAGAGGUUCCCUGAGGAAGAGGGAGCUCUGCUCCCAGACAGCCUGGACUGCAACCCAACUCUCCCCAGUCCCCAGCUGCCCCUGGACCUUCCAACACCCACAAUUUCAGGAGCUGAUUUGUUCAGCUAAGUCUCUCUCUAGCUCUGUCUAGUCUUUAUUCUGCCUUAAAUUAUAGCACAGAUGAUGCCAUCUUUCCAUAAACAUCAUUUAAUACUUGCCUAAAGAACGAUUGUCACCAUUACACCUGGCAUUAGGGAGCACUAGGCGCUCCAGGUACCUGCCAGAGUGCUCCCCAUGCUGUAAACUAUUGGUCUUUACAGAGAGCUGGGAGAAGGCACUGUUUUUCGCGUUUUACAGAAUAUGCAGAGAGGUUCAGCGACUUGCCCCAGGCCACACAGAGGCACAAAGAUGCAGACCUGUGGUGUCUGCAUCGGGGACGCCUGUAGUGUCGUGAGGGGAAUGGCAUCCACAGAGUUCCCGACAGGUAGACCCAGGACACUUAGGUAAGGUCCCAAGCCGUGUGUCCCAAGGGAUGGGCUUCUUUCCAUCCCUGGCUCGGCCUCUCUCCCGGGAACCAGAGGCGCCCCAGGAGGGAGGCUGAAGGUAAAGCGACACCUGGAUACCAAACAUCCUCAUGGCGACCUUUCUGGAUGAUCAGCCACAAAGCGGAGGUGAGAAAUGGGAGCUGGAGCAGGCAGGGCCAGGCUCCCAGAGCCAACCCCGAGGCUAGGGGAGCAGGGCUAUGGAGUGGCACAGUGGCCCCGGCCACAGAAGGGCAGGCAUAGGUGUUUCCUGCACAGCCUCACUCCAUGUCUUGGGAGGGGUAUCAGAGAGGGUAGAGACUGGAAAAGGACUGUGAGGAAAUUCACAAGCUCAUUGUGACUGGGAGAGCCCCGCGGGACAACACCCAGCAUGUCAGGGAUGCACUGGAGCCGUGGCCCCAGAAAUCUGGAAACGAACCCUCGAUUCCGGACAACCAGGGCUGGCUCUGAGGUGCAGCACUGAGCAAGGCUGGUGACUCCUGCGUGCCCAGAGCUCAUGCUGCAGCGGAGGUGACAUGGCACCUGGGUAUGUGACAGCCUCCAUGUGGUGACGGGAGGGCACCUGCUGGCACCUCCCCCUCCGGGGCCAGUGUGACGUGUGAACAGGUCCCUGUGUCCCAGCAGCAAGCAGGUCCUGGUCCACACACGGACGACUGAAGGACUGCACUUCUGAAGUGGGGGACAGGGAGGGGAGGGGCAGGAGAGGAAGGAAGAGGAGGAGCUGCUGGACUUCUGACUUUUUUUAUGGCUUUGCCCAGCAAGGAAGUCUGGAAUUCACAUUAACAUAAACUAUAAACGCAGAAUCAGUUGAUGAGGACAGUUAGUGAGGAGAUGGUCUUUUGGGGAUAAAAUCUGGCAGGAUUGCUGACCUGGACUCUGUCAUCUAAAGUUCUCACACAAAUGACCAUUACGUUGUGAUGCAUGAAACAAGUAACUUAAUAUGUAUUUUUGUCUGAGUAUAAAAUCAUUGUGUUCACUUUGGAAAAUAUAGAAAAUAAAAAUAAAAUAUACUUUAACAGCAUC